AUUGAACGCUGGCGGCAGGCUUAAAACAUGCAAGUCGAACGAGUGGCGGACGGGUGAGUAAUGCUUGGGGAUCUGGCUUAUGGAGGGGGAUAACUACGGGAAACUGUAGCUAAUACCGCGUACCAUAGGCUGAGCACAAGUGGGAUUAGGUAGUGGGUGGGGUAAAGGCUCACCAAACGACGAUGUCUAGCUGGUCUGAGAGGAUGACCAGCCACACGGGGACUGAGACACGGCCCAGACUCCUACGGGAGGCAGCAGUGGGGAAUAGUGCGCAAUGGGCGCAACCCUGACGCAGCCAUGCCGCGUGAAUGAAGAAGGCCUUCGGGUUGUAAAGGUCUUUCGGUAGCGAGGCGUUAACUACAGAAGAAGCACCGGCUAACUCCGGGCCAGCCGCCGCGGUAAUUC
rnacentral:rRNA from 1 species